AUUGAACGCUGGCGGCAGGCUUAACACAUGCAAGUCGAGCGGGGUGAUGGUGCUUGCACUAUCACUUAGCGGCGGACGGGUGAGUAAUGCUUAGGAAUCUGCCUAUUAGUGGGGGACAACAUCUCGAAAGGGAUGCUAAUACCGCAUACGUCCUACGGGAGAAAGCAGGGGAUCACUUGUGACCUUGCGCUAAUAGAUGAGCCUAAGUCGGAUUAGCUAGUUGGUGGGGUAAAGGCCUACCAAGGCGACGAUCUGUAGCGGGUCUGAGAGGAUGAUCCGCCACACUGGGACUGAGACACGGCCCAGACUCCUACGGGAGGCAGCAGUGGGGAAUAUUGGACGAUGGGGGGAACCCUGAUCCAGCCAUGCCGCGUGUGUGAAGAAGGCCUUAUGGUUGUAAAGCACUUUAAGCGAGGAGGAGGCUCUUUUGGUUAAUACCCAAGAUGAGUGGGCGUUACUCGCAGAAUAAGCACCGGCUAACUCUGUGCCAGCAGCCGCCGUAA
rnacentral:rRNA from 1 species